rnacentral:rRNA from 1 species
AGAACGAACGCUGGCGGCAUGCCUAAUACAUGCAAGUCGAACGAACUCUUCGGAGUUAGUGGCGCACGGGUGCGUAACGCGUGGGAAUCUGCCCCUUGGUUCGGAAUAACAGUUGGAAACGACUGCUAAUACCGGAUGAUGACGAAAGUCCAAAGAUUUAUCGCCAAGGGAUGAGCCCGCGUAGGAUUAGCUAGUUGGUGAGGUAAAGGCUCACCAAGGCAACGAUCCUUAGCUGGUCUGGAGGGGAUGAUCAGCCACACUGGGACUGAGACACGGCCCAGACUCCUACGGGAGG